UGGGGAAUAUUGCGCAAUGGGCGAAAGCCUGACGCAGCCAACCCGCGUGUGUGAUGAAGGCCUUCGGGUUGUAAAGCACUGUCGUGAGGGAAGAAGAUCUGACGGUACCUCACAAGAAAGCACCGGCUAACCCCGUGCCAGCAGCCGCGGUAAUACGGGGGGUGCAAGCGUUGCUCGGAAUUACUGGGCGUAAAGCGUCCGCAGGCGGACCAGCAGGUCGGUCGUGAAAGCCCGAGGCUCAACCUCGGAACUGCGAUCGAAACCAUUGGUCUUGAGUCCGGGAGAGGGGGGUGGAAUUCCUGGUGUAGAGGUGAAAUUCGUAGAUAUCAGGAGGAACACCGGUGGCGAAAGCGGCCCCCUGGCCCGAAACUGACGCUCAUGGACGAAAGCGUGGGGAGCA
rnacentral:rRNA from 1 species